CUACGUAUGGACGGGAUAAGUGCUGAAAGCAUCUAAGCAUGAAGCCCCCCUCAAGAUGAGACUUCCCAUCUGUAAAGAGUAAGAUCCCUCAGAGACGAUGAGGUAGAUAGGUUCGAGGUGGAAGCAUGGCAACAUGUGUAGCUGACGAAUACUAAUCGAUCGAGGACUUAACUAA
rnacentral:rRNA from 1 species